GUAUUGCUGAAGAAUGCCAAACUAGGACGAAACAGCUGUCCAGUAC
rnacentral:hammerhead_ribozyme from 1 species